GCUUGUCUCAAAGAUUAAGCCAUGCAUGUCUAAGUGUAAAUAAGUCUAUACUGUGAAACUGCGAAUGGCUCAUUAAAACAGUUAUAGUUUAUUUGAUAAUCGAAUUUACAUGGAUAACCGUGGUAAUUCUAGAGCUAAUACAUGCUGGUUAGCCUGACUUCGAGGAAGGGCUGUAUUUAUUAGAUAACAAACCAAUAUUCUUCGUGUCUAUUGUGAUGACUCAUAAUAACUGAUCGAAUCGCAUGGUCCUUGACCGCGAUAAAUCAUUCAAGUUUCUGCCCCAUCAGCUUUCGAUGGUAGUGUAUUGGACUACCAUGGCUUUAACGGGUAACGGAGGAUUAGGGUUCGAUUCCGGAGAGGGAGCCUGAGAAACGGCUACCACAUCUAAGGAAGGCAGCAGG
rnacentral:rRNA from 1 species